rnacentral:tRNA from 1 species
UCUCUUCAUAUCGCCAGGAGCUCCGACAAGGGUUCCUUUCCCUCUAGUCAAUUUACGAUCGAUGAUUUGAGCGGAGAUCC